GGCCGUUUCGUUCCGUUCGGCGGCUAAUUUUUGGGGGAGGAGGCGCGAAACCGCCCCCAAAAAACCGCUUUCGCGGGACGGCUCCGGCAUGGAUGGCCGGAGCAAGU
rnacentral:ncRNA from 1 species